rnacentral:rRNA from 1 species
AACGAACGCUGGCGGCAGGCCUAACACAUGCAAGUCGAGCGAGACCUUCGGGUCUAGCGGCGGACGGGUUAGUAACGCGUGGGAACGUGCCCUUCUCUGCGGAAUAGCCACUGGAAACGGUGAGUAAUACCGCAUACGCCCUUCGGGGAAAGAUUUAUCGGAGAAGGAUCGGCCCGCGUUAGAUUAGAUAGUUGGUGGGUAACGGCCUACCAAGUCUACGAUCUAUAGCUGGUUUUAGUAGGAUGAUCAGCAACACUGGGACUGAGACACGGCCCAGACUCCUACGGGAGGCAGCAGUGGGGAAUCUUAGACAAUGGGCGCAAGCCUGAUCUAGCCAUGCCGCGUGUGUGAUGAAGGCCUUAGGAUCGUAAAGCACUUUCGCCAGGGAUGAUAAUGACAGUACCUGGUAAAGAAACCCCGGCUAACUCCGUG